ACCGAGGGGACAAUGCAAAUCCCAUUCAAUACUAGGGCAAGUGCAAUUCAGGGAGCUUAGCUGAACUGCUCAAGAUGUAGGGCAAGUGAGGGGAAAAGACCACAUUUAAAACCUCUCACCUGCUGGAAAACCAUCAGCGCAUAGCAGCUGAGAGGGAACGCUCUAUCUGUGCUCACUCUUUCUACAUUUUGGAAGCAGCGAGGGGGUGAUAAGGCAAGUUCGUGUUCAUUGUCCUGCAUACCUUUUCCUCCAGGGAUCAACAGUUCGUUCCAGCUGAGAGCGUGAAAUGUGUCUAACAGGGACACAGGUUAGAUCCUGGUGGUCCUUAUCUCUACUUUGCUUGUCUAAGUCUACGCCACUUCUCCAAGAAGCAAAUGUAUCCCUAAUAUUGGGUUUCACCACGCCGAGUGCCCUUCAGUUCUCGUUAAAUUCCAUUCUUUGUCUCCUGUAUUCUUUUCUCUCUGUGAUUACCCCUUCUUUGCGUAUUUCUUCUGGAGCUCUCUACAUAGGCUCCAAAGCCCUGCCUUGGAGGUAAAUCCUUAGCCUCGAUGAGUAGGCAGCAAGCCCCUCUUGCACACAACAAAGACUUCUAUUUUUUUUUCUAUCUUUUGGGCGACACGAUAAAAAAUAACCCUGUAUUUAUGCAAAUUGCAAAGUAGCGUGUGAUAAUGAAAACAAAACAGUGCUGGCCCGCAGCCAAGACAUGGCGCUGACGGGAGCUCCCCGACCAUUUGGCUCUUGAUUCUUCGGGGAAAGCAGCUGUAGAGAAAUGAGAAUACAGGACCCCCUCCUCACACGCGCACACCCUGGUUCGCACGCAUUCCGGUACCCGUCACCUCGGAGCCAGCGAGACCUGGGAUCCAAAUGUGGUUCUGCCUCCUCCGGCCGUGGAGCACUGCAGUGUCGUCCUCCACGAGCCUCCCUGCCCCUGCUCCUGAUUCCCUUUCAGGAAUUUACAAACAUUUUCCCCAGAUCAAUAUCCGUAUUGAUUAUUCAUUGUGAGUGAGUCGUGUGUCUUUGGUGAUCCAGCUUGCAGAGGUAGCAGGCAAAGGCUGCUGCGGGGGAGAAAAAUAACAGAAGGCGAGAGGGACCCAGCUCUUGCUGGGUCUGCGGCUGUCGGCAACACAGAAGGGAAGAGAAAAAGAGAAAAGCACCUCAAAGCCAAGGAAUGGACACGGGUGGAAGAGAAAGAGGGAGCAAUAGCAAGAAAAAAGGAAUCGAUGACUGGACAUCUGGUCCCAGGGAAUCUCGAUGGCUUGGAGGAAACCCCCAUCUUGGGUCUGCUGUUACGUGCAGGACGCAAUGGACUUUGCUCUGGGAGUGCAAAGUGACUCACAGUUUUGGUAUCUCCUACGUAAGAGCUUUGGGGGGAUUCCUUGGCUUGCUGACAGGCAAGGAAGACAGCGGCAGCAGUGAGGUAAAACACGAUUACUUCCAACUGCCUUGCGGAGGAGGCGCAGUCGUGCGGUGUGACUUGAACAGCUUGCUGCUCUCUGAUGGCACGCGGAGGGAGAAUAAUUAAAAAGGCCAGCAUCACUUACUAAGUCAUGCUGCUCCCAGGCUGUUCCAGGCAAUGACUGAACACGGCAAAGUGCUACAACUGCACCAUUCCACCCUCAACCCCAUGGGACUCCUCUAACAGGCAACGUUUGCUCAAGGACUCCUCCGUGGCCUGGCUGAGAUGUAAAGAAAGAAGGAGAGAAUCAAGAAACCUACAGAUACGGAGCAGGAAGUCAAGGGAGGCAGAGCCAAUGAGCCUACACCAGACAACUAGAUCUGCCAAUGAAGUAUCCAGUAGAGGACUACAGAGCCAGGAAUCAAAAGAUGAAAAAAUUGAGGGAUCAAGUAACUUUCUCAAGGUCACUCAGUCACAAGUACAAAGUUAGGAUGAUAAGCAACAUUUAAUCAUAGUGCCCUUUGUACCAUUUCAUUUGGUGAAUCUCCUCUCCAUCAAGUCCUGUUGGACAUGUACACAAGUAAGUAGGAACUAGAAUGCAUUUGGAUUAUCAUCCAAAUGCAUUAUAAUGAUACUAUCUAAAUUAUAAUAUAAUUAUAAUGAUGUGGAUAAUUUUUAUAUCAUUGAAACAACUGGUGAGAACUUCAGUGUUGCCAAAACAAACACUA